CUGAGAUUUCUGGAGUUUAACAUUUGAAUACUUCACCAUUCUGGAGCUCAUGUAAGGAAAAAAAAAAAGCAAAACAAACAAACAAAAAAGAUCUCUCGAUCUAUUUUUGAAACUUAUCUAUUUCAGUAGUACCAGAAAACCUCAGAAGUCUUUCAUGUAUUUGCCAUCAUUGAAAUCCUCUGAGAGAGGAAAAUGCUGUUAUCGCUACUUUAGAUGGCAGAUGUUAAAGCACAACUGCUCAGAUCUCAUAGGUAAGUGCUGAAAGAACAGGGGAUUGAGACAGUGCCUCCUAAACCCCAGGUCCUGCAGGAGCUUCAGGAAGGGGAAGAGCAGUCACAAGAGCAUCCUGUUUUCUAAAAGCAGGGCACAACAGGUCAGAGCACACACCCUGCAUGCCUUAAGAAGGGAGCUCUGUGAGUCCUUUCUCAUUAUGGGGAUGCUGGAGGUGCCACAGCAUGGUGCAUCCCAAUGCUAUGCAAGGUGUCCCAUCCCUGUCAAAAUUAGGAACUCGAGCUAAUUGGGUAAAUACAAUGAGAAAUUAGUCUGCUAACAUGCAUGUAGCAGAAAUUUGAGCUCCUCAGACAGAGGGCACUCAUCCGUGUCCAUCCCUAUGUCUUCUUCCACCUCACUUUAGACGUUCCCCCAAAACCUUUUGACUUCCUGAGAUGACUGACUUGCAACAUGUGAUCAAAGCACUGUGAUAAUCACUGGGUGAGUAGAAAUAUGUUGCAAGACAGUAUGUUACCUCAAAACAACAGGGUCUCUAUGAUUUCUGGUGGGCAUCAUACCCUGCAGAAAACAUUUGGAAACAAGAUUAUGUGCUGUGGCUUCUUAGGCUAAGAUACUUUUUAACAUUAUGAAAAUAGGGAAUAUAGGAAAUGGGACGAAAUGGGUGAAAAUAUCUGUUCUUUUAUGUUUAUACAUUUUAUCACUUAGCUUCAUUUAAUUUAUAAGUCAGUGAAUUCAGUAUUGCUGUCUGUUCCUCAGCAGACCCGAGGAAUUUUCAUGGAGAAGCAUUAACAACAACCAUAUCCUAUAAAGGAAAGGGAAGAGAUUAAAUUCACAAUGGAAGUGCAUCAGAAUGGUAAAUAUGAAGACAGGAGAAUGUCCAGUGUAUGUCUAAGCGCAGAGUCAUCAGGCAUAUAAUAAAACACAGAUAAGCCACAACAAGUGAAACGACAUCCUGCCUUUACUCAGCCUUACAACAGCAAAAUAAGAUCAGAGGAAUGAGUACAAGAAAAGCUUUAAACAAAGCACAGAGUGACAUACUGAAGAAAGAAAAGAAAAAACCAGAUAUCUCAUCAUUAAUCAUCAACCAUCCUGUGCACUGAAUAAGAUAGUCAUCUCUGAAAAGACGACAAUGUGGUCAUACAAUUUAAAGUUGAAUAAUAACGUGUAGGCACUCUCUUCUGCUGUUUCCUUACUUUCAAGUGCCUUGCUUUGUGCUCUUAUUAAUGUAGUCUUAGUGACAACAAUGUGAUAGUCAUAAUGAGCAAUGGUGAUAUGAAAAGCUGGAUUUCUGGGAAGACAAUGCAUUUCAGCAGGCAACAGUUGGGCAGGCAAGCUUACAAACUGCUUCUCUGACGUUCUUUAACAUGGUAGGAGUGGUGUGUGUGCAACUAAUAUAUGAAUAAUGUAAGAAAGACGUUGUUCAUGUGUGAGAGAAAAAUCCCAUUGCAGUAUAACAUUCCCAGAUGUUAUUUUUCUAGUGCAGUGUAUAUGCAGAGAGCAGCUUCCCCUUAAAUAGCUUGCAAACCUCCUAGUGCUGUUCACUGUAUUCGUUGUUUCAGAGCCACCAGAAACCAGCCAGAGCAGCAAUAUGUAUAUAACCAGGCCUUGCAUGUUUGUGUAUUUUUAGUAAACAUAGUUAUUUGGUA